rnacentral:misc_RNA from 1 species
UCUCCGUAGGUGAACCUGCGGAGGGAUCAUUACAGAGUUCAUGCCCUACCGGGUCGAUCUCCCACCCUAUGUUAUUAUUACUUUGUUGCUUUGGCGGGCCGUUAGGCUCCGGCCCGACUACCGGCCCCGGCUGGUAAGCGCCCGCCAGAGGACCCAAAACCCUGAAUAUUAGUGUCGUCUGAGUACUAUAUAAUAGUUAAAACUUUCAACAACGGAUCUCUUGGUCCUG